GAUGAACGCUGGCGGCGUGCCUAAUACAUGCAAGUCGAGCGAACAGACGAGAAGCUUGCUUCUCUGACGUUAGCGGCGGACGGGUGAGUAACACGUGGAUAACCUACCUAUAAGACUGGGAUAACUUCGGGAAACCGGAGCUAAUACCGGAUAAUAUUUUGAACCGCAUGGUUCAAUAGUGAAAGACGGUCUUGCUGUCACUUAUAGAUGGAUCCGCGCUGCAUUAGCUAGUUGGUAAGGUAACGGCUUACCAAGGCAACGAUGCAUAGCCGACCUGAGAGGGUGAUCGGCCACACUGGAACUGAGACACGGUCCAGACUCCUACGGGAGGCAGCAGUAGGGAAUCUUCCGCAAUGGGCGAAAGCCUGACGGAGCAACGCCGCGUGAGUGAUGAAGGUCUUCGGAUCGUAAAACUCUGUUAUUAGGGAAGAACAUAUGUGUAAGUAACUGUGCACAUCUUGACGGUACCUAAUCAGAAAGCCACGGCUAACUACGUG
rnacentral:rRNA from 1 species